rnacentral:rRNA from 1 species
CCUACGGGCGGCAGCAGUGAGGAAUAUUGGUCAAUGGGCGGAAGCCUGAACCAGCCAAGUAGCGUGCAGGAUGACGGCCCUACGGGUUGUAAACUGCUUUUAUACGGGAAUAACGCGCCUUACGUGUAGAGCUUUGCAUGUACCGUAUGAAUAAGGACCGGCUAAUUCCGUGCCAGCGGCCGCGGUAAUACGGAAGGUCCGGGGGUUAUCCGGAUUUAUUGGGUUGAAAGGGAGCGUCGGCCGCAUGUCAAGCGUGCUGUGAAAUGUCCGGGCUCAACCCGGGCCUUGCAGCGCGAACUGGCGUGCUUGAGUCCGCGGAAGGCAGGCGGAAUUCGUCGUGUAGCGGUGAAAUGCUUAGAUAUGACGAAGAACCCCGAUUGCGAAGGCAGCUUGCUGCAGCGGAACUGACGCUGAUGCUCGAAAGCGCGGGUAUCGAACAGGAUUAGAUACCCCUGUAGUC